rnacentral:rRNA from 1 species
UUCCGAAAGGAGUGCUAACACCGCAUAAGACCACGCCUCCGAAAGGAGAAGCGGUCAAAGCUGACCUCUAUAUAUAAGUUAGCGCUUGAUGAUGAGCCCGCGGAGCAUCAGCUAGUUGGUGAGGUAAUGGCUCACCAAGGCUUAGACGCUUAGCUGGUCUGAGAGGAUGAUCAGCCACACUGGAACUGAAACACGGGCCAG